rnacentral:rRNA from 1 species
UACGGAGGGUGCAAGCGUUAUCCGGAUUCACUGGGUUUAAAGGGUGCGUAGGUGGGCAGUUAAGUCAGUGGUGAAAUCUCCGGGCUCAACCCGGAAACUGCCAUUGAUACUAUCUGUCUUGAAUAUCGUGGAGGUAAGCGGAAUAUGUCAUGUAGCGGUGAAAUGCUUAGAUAUGACAUGGAACACCAAUUGCGAAGGCAGCUUACUACCCGAAUAUUGACACUGAUGCACGAAAGCGUGGGGAUCAAACAGG